rnacentral:piRNA from 1 species
UGCAGUUCUUUUUCUGUCUUU